rnacentral:ncRNA from 2 species
UGCCCUCCCUCACUUACAGGUACCCCGUUCUUAAUUAAAGGGGUUAAACGGGAAGUCGGUCAAAAGCCGACGCUGCCCCCGCAACGGUAGGCAAGAAGAGACUGGUUAUUAAGCCACUGCGGAUUUUCGUGGGAAGGCAAUCAGUCCCGCAGGUAUUUUGACCUCUGCUACUUGCAAGCCCGGAGACCGGCCUAGAGUGCCCUGUGGUG